UCGUCUUAAAUUAAUUGUCACAAAUGUCUUUUUAAGUUGUUCAUCUAUUUGUCACAUGCUUUUUAGGAAUCAAUUGUUCCAAUUUUACUCACCCAAUUAUUUCGUCCUAUUAUAUUACCCUUUUAAAAAAUUGCGUUGUUUUUCAGUUAUUUUAGGAGAAAGAAAUUUAUAGUAUUAUGGAGUAAUAUGAUAGUAUAAUUUUUUUUGUUAAAAGAAGUAAUGUUCUUACAAAGACAACUUAGAUAACAAAAAAAUAAUGGUAUUUAAAGGAAAAAAAAGCUCUAACCAACAGUAAAGCAAAAAAAAAAUGGACAUCACUUAUCAUCAUUAAUCAUUACAUUACAACUUACAAAUGGCCUAGAAAGUAAAAAGUAAGUAGCAGAAAAAAAGCUGGCUUGGUUUUUCUUCUAAAAAAAAAGUAGAAAGAAAUAGGAUAGAAGUUUUUUUUUUGAGGGGAAAUAGGAUAGAAAUUAUACCUGCUCAUCAUUCCUUUUUUUCCAAAAGCAAAAUAAAUUAAUUUCCCCUGCUCAUCCUUUCUUUCCAAAAGCAAAAGAAAUUAUUUUUCCCUGCUCAUCCUUUCUUUCCAAAAGAAAAAUUUGUUCUCAUCCAUAAGCAAUUGCUAAUCUCUCACUAUGAUGACUUAAUGCUCCUUCUUUUAAGUCCUCAUCCAUGUCAUAAAGCACCUCAGAUGUAUCAGGGACAUGCCCAUGUAAGGUCAAGAGCCUAUCAACCUCAUCAGACAUCUCAUAUAUUGCUUUACUAUGUGGGUGAAGCUUAUCGCCUACAAGAAACUCAUGAACGAUGCUAUUUACUCUGUGGGAAUCAUAGAGUUCUUCUCUUGGGUAAGAGAAAGGGGAAACAUCAAAGGAGUAUAGAACUAAGAAGACAUUUAUGGAAGAACAUCUCUUAUUCAACAAAGCUUUUUCCAUUAUUGCUCACAAUUAAAGUGAAAAGGACACAAGGACCUCCCCUCUUGAUGAAUGGGAAUUGCAUUGGAAAUUAAACAUAUUCUAAUGUUAGUUUAUUGGGCCCCUACAACUAUUCAAGAUAUGUAGAAGAUGGUGGGUUUGAAUGCUGACCGUGGCUUACAAAAAGCUUUUCCCCUUGGAAUGCCACAUAGGAUAGCUACUUUUCCUUUUUCUCAUUUCAAUAUUUUUUUUUUGAGGAGAUUUCUAGUAGGUAAAUCAUAUGGGCGGGAAUUAGAAGAACAUGUGCAUGCCACCUAGGAUAGUUUUGGGGGGAAAACUAAACCAUGUUUUCUCUUUUAGUAUAUAGUAAUAGAUAUAAAUGCAUGAUGUGUCUUUUCAUUACA